UACGGAGGGUGCAAGCGUUAUCCGGAUUCACUGGGUUUAAAGGGUGCGUAGGUGGGCAGGUAAGUCAGUGGUGAAAUCUCCGGGCUUAACCCGGAAACUACCAUUGAUACUAUUUGUCUUGAAUACUGUGGAGGUCAGCGGAAUAUGUCAUGUAGCGGUGAAAUGCUUAGAUAUGACAUAGAACACCAAUUGCGAAGGCAGCUGGCUACACAAAUAUUGACACUGAGGCACGAAAGCGUGGGGAUCAAACAGG
rnacentral:rRNA from 1 species